UACGAAGGGGGCUAGCGUUGCUCGGAAUUACUGGGCGUAAAGCGCACGUAGGCGGCUUUCUAAGUCGGGGGUGAAAUCCUGGAGCUCAACUCCAGAACUGCCUUCGAUACUGGAGAGCUCGAGUCCGGGAGAGGUGAGUGGAACUGCGAGUGUAGAGGUGAAAUUCGUAGAUAUUCGCAAGAACACCAGUGGCGAAGGCGGCCAACUGGUCCGGCACUGACGCUGAGGUGCGAAAGCGUGGGGAGCAAACAGG
rnacentral:rRNA from 1 species